rnacentral:tRNA from 1 species
GCCGCCAUAGCUCAGUCGGUUAGAGCGUGGGUCUAAUAAGCCCAAGGUCGCAGGUUCGACCCCUGCUG